rnacentral:misc_RNA from 1 species
AGAUCUGACUCCUGGGCAGAAGCAAAGAAUUGCAAUAGCUCGUGUUGUUCUGAAGAAUGCACCUAUUCUGUUAUUGGAUGAAGCAAGCUCCUCCAUUGAAUCUGAGUCGAGCCGAGUGAUACAGGAGGCUCUUGAUACUCUAAUCAUGGGGAACAAGACAACUAUUUUAAUUGCCCACCGAGCUGCCAUGAUGAGGCAUGUUGACAACAUAGUUGUACUUAAUGGAGGGAGGAUUGUUGAGGAAGGUACCCACGAUACACUGAUGUCAAAAAAUGGUUUGUAUGUCCGCCUGAUGCAACCUCACUUUGGGAAGGGAUUGCGUCAACAUAGACUUGUUUAAAAACGGAAGCAAUGCAACUGAAGGUACAUCUCAUUUACAGUAACGUCCAAAUCCUUACUGUAAAAUCCCAGCUUCAAACUGGACAGAUCAAAGCAAAGACAGAAUGAUGAGGAUUUCUAACACUUUGUUUGCUGUUGAUUAUCACGUUUGGGCAGUGAAACUUCGUAUGUAAUUAGACUGAUGGCGUUGUUGUUCAAAUUGAUAUCGAGGAUGAUAGGAUGUCAGGACUAGAACCCUAUUCUUUUGGAGGCAGGCCGGUUGUGUAGAUCAGGUUUAUGCUCCGUCUCCUGAUGGUAUAUUGAUUUGUUAAUUAUAGAUUGGAAUGAGUAGCCAUAGCUUUGAUCAGGUCUGUAUUCUUUCUUCCUUUCGGGUUGUGUCUCUGUGUGUGUUGUAGUCAAGUCAAGUGAUGUUCAUUUUUUUCGUGACGAAAAAUCCCCCUCUCCACUUUUCUGCUGUAUAUCUUAUAUGGAAGCCAUAAGAGAUGAUUUCACCAUCAUUUUCUGCCUGUAUAAAUGUGUCACAAAUUUGGUCUUUUGGAGUACACUUAAGUUUUGG